UAAGCAAGCUAGUGGGAGCUAUAAACGUCUUAUGAGAGAAAGAUCAAAUCGUUUGAUUUCUCAUAAAGAUGUAAAUGAAUCUUUUGUUUACUAGGUUUACAAAAGAUUAGUGGGAGUUAAUCAUGUUCCUAAAUUUGAAUAUAUAUAUAUAUAUAUAUAUUUAUACAAAUAUAUGAUAUAUUAAUUUUGGAAAUGAAAAAGAAUACUUCUUCGUUAAAGUUAUGACUUUAAACAUUCUAUAACGAUAGAAUGUAUAUGGGAGACAUAGUCUAUAAACAUGGGAUGAAAAUCUAUAAUGAUAGAUUUCAGGAUAUAAUUGGAUUAUAUCAAGCCCUAAUGAUAGACAAAAGAUGCUAGGAAGUUUCUCAUAUGAUGAUAAACUUCAAUCAGAAUAACAACUCUAGUAAGACUAGGAGGUAGCUCUUCUCAAAGGGAACGUACCCUUUGACUCCCAAAGAAAUAAUGCGUAAAUAGAAUCCUUUAUGCAUACGCAGAAAAGUGAUUUAUGUAUUUCAUAUUGUAUGAAAACAUUGAUAUGAGUUGUACCUAGAACGGUACAAGACGAUAUCAAUGCAAGCCUAGAAUCAGAACCAUGGCAACUAUCAAGUGAGUCCUUAAGUAUUUAAAAAAUACUAAAGAAUAGAUUCCUCAAAGAAUGAGGAAGAAUUAGAGUAACGUAAUGGAAGUUUAAAUGUAUUAGAUUAUGAAUCUAAUCCAUCAUUGGAUGUUUCUUCAUUAUGAAUGAAGAGAUAAUCAGAUAUCUCUUUAUUAUGACUAAAAGAGAUAUUUGGAUGGAAACAUUAAAAGUAAUGACUUUAGUGUGUUCCAUUAUGAAUGCAAAAAUAUAUUGCCUUAUAGAAGCUUACAACAAUGUUGUUUGGAUGGGAAAGUUCAUUUAUGAACUCUCUAUUCGGUUCCAACCAGAA
rnacentral:lncRNA from 1 species